UUCAGAGUAUUUCUGAGUCCAAACUGAUUGCCGCCAUAGCUGAAUCCUUUGAGUGGAUUUAAUUCGGUUUUGACAUAGAAUGGGGUCCAACUAAUCUUAAUAAUUUUUUAAGUUUGGUUUUUCCUGCCCCCAACUCUAAGCAAAAGCACAUGUUGAUUUCAUCAAGAUUAGAUCAGGCUUCGAAAAUGAAAAUGCCUUCUGAUUAGAUAUCAAAGAGUUGUUGCAAGCGCCAUUUGGGUUUGGGAUAUUAUGAACUUUGAGCCUAAGCCUCUAUAAAUUUGUUGGUGCAGCUUGAUGUUGACAUUGCUACUCGUAUACGUAUCAAGGAAGAUGGACCCAAUAGGAGCUUGCUUUCCAUAGAGACAGCAGAUCGGCCUGGACUGCUGGUAGAGAUUAUCAAAGUCAUUAUUGAUGUAGAAUCUGCAGAAAUUGAUACGGAGGGAUUAGUGGCGAAAGACAAGUUUCACGUUAGCUACAGAGGAGCAGCUUUAAAUAGUUCCUUGUCUCAGGUGCUGGUGAAUUGCCUGCGUUAUUACCUUAGAUGGCCGGAAACUGAUAUCGAUAGUUAUUAAUACUUGAAGAUAUACCCUAUAAACCAAAUUGGUUGGUUCUUGUACCAAAUCCUAUGUGAGCUCGGGAUAUUAAAAUUUUUUUUCUCUAUAGAUUUAUAGGUUCAUGUUGCACAAUGCAUGGUGGGAUGUUUCUCGACGCUUCACACUUACACGACCUGCAUCCCAUAUGAAACAAAACGUUGGUUACACAACUAAAUGAUGUGAAAUGUUUCAAAUGUUUGGAGCUUUGGAUUAUGUUC